rnacentral:rRNA from 1 species
AUUGAACGCUGGCGGCAGGCCUAACACAUGCAAGUCGAACGAGUGUCUGACGGGUUAGUAAUGUCUGUGAAACUGCCUGAUGGUGGCGGAUAACUACUGGAAACGGUAUCUAAUACCGCAUACCAUCAGCUGUUCCCAGAGGGGAUUAGCUUGUUGGGGGGGCAACUGCUCACCAAGGCGACGAUCCCUAGCUGGUCUGAGAGGAUGACCAGCGACACUGGAACAGGUACACGGUCCAGAGUGAGACGGGAGGCAGCAGAGGGGAAUAGUGCACGAGGGGCGCAAGCCUGAUGCAGCCAUGGCGCGUGUAGGAAGAAGGCCUACGGGUUUUAAAGUACUUUAAGCGGGGAGGCGUUACCCGCAGAAGAAGCACCGGCUAACUCCGUGCCAGCAGCCGCGGUAAUAC